CAGAGAUGCAGACUGGAGGGGUCAGUUAAGCAGACAGACUAAGGAGAGAGGACAACAGAGUUAGGGAAGGAGUGGAGAGGAGCUCUGAAGAUGGAUGCAGCCAUCAGAAGCUGGGUACACUGUGGUCAUAAAAGGAGGACAUGGUCAGCAACAAUACUCAGAUAGGCUGUAGCGAUUAAAUUAUGCUCGUUGAUACUAAAGGACCCAAAAUGUGCCAAAAGGAUUCCCUACACCAUUACACCACUAGCCUGAAUCAGUGAUAGAAAGCAGGAUCGAUCCAUGAUUUUAGUUCUGAACCUAGCUUUUGAGUUUUUCAGCAGAAAUUGAGUGUCAUCAGACCAGGCAACAUUUUCCAAUCUUUUAUGGCCAAAUUUUGAUAAGUGUAGACUGUAGCCUCAGUUUUCUGUUUUUAGCAUGACAGCAGUGGCAUCCAGUGUGACCUUCUGCUGCUGUAACAGAUCUACUUCAAGGCUCAGUGUAGGCUCUUCUGCACACCUUGGUUGAUCAUUCUUGGGCUGGUUUUUUGCAAAGUCCCU
ensembl:lncRNA